GAUGAAGAACGUAGCGAAAUGCGAUAAGUAAUGUGAAUUGCAGAAUUCAGUGAAUCAUCGAAUCUUUGAACGCACAUUGCGCCCAUUAGUAUUCUAGUGGGCAUGCCUGUUCGAGCGUCAUUUCAACCCUUAAGCCUAGCUUAGUAUUGGGAAUCGACUUUACUGUCGUUCCUCAAAUUCAACGGCGGAUUUAUAGCAAUCUCUGAACGUAGUAAUUUUUUUCCUCGUUUUUGAAAUACUAUAAACCUCAGCCGCUAAACCCCCAAUGUUUCUAUGGUUGACCUCGGAUCAGGUAGGAAUACCCGCUGAACUUAAGCAUAUCAAUAAGCGGAGGA
rnacentral:misc_RNA from 1 species